rnacentral:rRNA from 1 species
AUUGAACGCUGGCGGCAGGCCUAACACAUGCAAGUCGAGCGAGCGGCGGACGGGUGAGUAAUGUAUGGGGACUGCCCGAUAGAGGGGGAUAACUACUGGAAACGGUGGCUAAUACCGCAUACUAUCGGAUAACCCAUAUGGGAUUAGCUAGUAGGUGGGGUAAAGGCUCACCUAGGCGACGAUCUCUAGCUGGUCUGAGAGGAUGAUCAGCCACACUGGGACUGAGACACGGCUCAGACUCCUACGGAGGCAGCAGUAGGGAAUAUUCGGCAAUGGACGAAAGUCUGACCGAGCCACGCCGCGUGAGUGAAGAAGGUUUUAGGAUCGUAAAACUCUGUUAUUGGAGAAGCGUUAUCUAAACAGAAAGCCACGGCUAACUACGUGCCAGCAGCCGCGGUAAUUC